AACGAACGCUGGCGGCAUGCCUAACACAUGCAAGUCGAACGAAGGCUUCGGCCUUAGUGGCGCACGGGUGAGUAACGCGUGGGAAACUGCCUAUUGGUGGGGAAUAACGACGGGAAACUGUCGCUAAUACCGCAUAAGCCCUUUGGGGGAAAGAUUUAUCGCCGAUAGAUGUGCCCGCGUCCGAUUAGCUAGUUGGUGAGGUAAUGGCUCACCAAGGCGACGAUCGGUAGCUGGUCUGAGAGGAUGAUCAGCCACACUGGGACUGAGACACGGCCCA
rnacentral:rRNA from 1 species